rnacentral:lncRNA from 1 species
AUGAAAUUUUAUAGGAGACACAACAAAGUAGAAGUCAGCAAAGAGCCAGCGUCUUCCCCACCCACCCAGUCUUUCAUCAGCUGCCAGCUCGGAAUAAACCCAAAUCUGGUCCCAUUCCUUUUCAGAGACUUUAUAAUUCCAGUAGUUCCUUCAUUCUGGCUUGCAUUCUCUCAGCUACUUACACUGAAGUUCUGACUACAUAUUUUUUCAUAAGGGAUUUUUCUUCUGAAUUUCAGUAAGGGUCACAAAGAACUCAGCUAUUUUCAGUGUCCAUAUAUUGAUUUUUUCCUUACUUCUUUGUAAAGAGCUGGAAAAGACUCCAGGGAAGUUUGCUGGCCUUCCUCGCUACCACUUCCUUGGGUUUACAACUAAGAAGGGAUGUGUGAAGAGUGGGCUUGAGGUUGCUAUUUGUCAAUAGAGUCCACAUUUUGGAAAGAGAAUUGGGUAUAGCACAAGAAACACUGAGGACAAACUAGAGCUUCCUGGCACCUCUGUGCCUCUAGCAGCCUCUAACCAAGCCCCUCAGAGGAUCAUUUCCUUUGCAACUUCUCUUUUGUCCAUCUUGGACUUGCAAAGAUACAGUCAAGGAGAUUCUCGGAAAUGUACUAUAGUUUCCAGUGCAAUCAAGUUAACAGUAGAACGACCCUUCACCAUUAGAAUAAACAGAGAAGUUUUUCUAAACAGAGAAGUUUAGGACAAAGUUCACAGACAUAAGCAAAACAGAAGAGAUAAUGAUAGCAGUUCUGCUAAUGGUUGCCCCCCCCCCAAAAAAAAAAACCCACAGAAAACAAAAGCAGCAUGAUGUAUUUUAUAUUCUUAAGAAGAGGGCUGGGCGCGGUGGCUCACACCUGUAAUCCCAGCACUUUGGGAGGCCGAGGCGGGUGGAUCACAAGGUGAAGAGAUCGAGACCAUCCUGGUCGACAUGGUGAAACCCCGUUUCUACUAAGGAUGCAAAAAAUAGCUGGGCAUGGUGGUGUGUGCCUGUAGUCCCAGCUACUCGGGAGGCUGAGGCAGGAGAAUUGCCUGGACCCAGGAGGUGGAGGUUGUGGUGAGCCAAGUUCGCACCAUUGCACUCCAGCCUGGGUAACGAGCGAAACUCCGUCUCAAAAAAAAAAAAAAAAGAAGAGACUUUAUAAUAAGAUGUAACAUAUACUUCUAGGAAAAGGGGAUGAACGUGACAAAAAUGUUCAGAGGAAAAACAUUGGACUUUACCCCAUUUCUUUUAGAAUUGUAAAGUAGAUAUAAGGAUAUUUAAUUAUUAUUGUAUCUGGAUUACAUAACAGAGGAUGCUAUAUGCUAUUUUGAAACUUAGCUUACCUAAAUGUUUCUAAAUGACUUUAUUUUAUAUUUAUUUUUGCUUUUGCUUUCCCUUUUUACUUUGAAAUUUUCUGAUCUUAUCAGGUCUGAUUCUUGUGACUUUUGCUUCAAAUCUCUACCAGGGCUUUUCCCAGGUUUUUGAACACAGGCCCAAGAUUUUCAGCAGGAUAUCUUUGGUACAUAUAUUGUUGGCUAGCACAUGAGGGAUGUUUAAUACAUACUUUAUUAAUAAAAUGAUAAUAAAUGUCAGCAUAUUUUAGUUUUCCAGACCUUAAUUAUUAUAUGCAAUAUGUGUCUGUAAUACAUAAUUCUAUCAAAGUUUGUUGAUUAUACUGAUUGACUAAAAGUGUGGAUAAACAUAUAAGACAUAAGGCAGAAUCUGAUUUUAUUUUCAACAAAUUUGUUAAUUAGGAAUUAUUUACUCUCUCAACAUCAGGAAUAUUAAUGUCAUCACAAUCUACUAAACUUUUCAUAUUAUUUAGCAGCACCGUUUUUUCUGGAAUAAAAUAGAAGUUGUUUUAAAAUAUGAGAAAACUGAAACAGUAUAAUUCAAAUAUUAAACUGAGUAAAUAUUUAAGAAAAUGUCACGUUUGAAGCUUUGAGAAAGGGUAUAAAAUUUAAUAAAACCUACAGAGUAUCAAUAAACCUUGCUUUUAAAAUUAAUUUAGUCCAGAUACAACUGGCUUAGCAGAAUAGAUAUUUAAAUGAGGAUGUUCUACUUAUAAGUGAAAUUCUAGAGUUUGCAAUGUCCAAAUAUUUCAGUUUAACAAGUGGAAGAAAAUAAGUGCUAUUUUUACAUGUACUGUAAAGGAUUUCAUACAAAUGGUUAAGUGACCCUCACAUACCCUUCCUGAAAACUCCAGUGGACCUGGAGGGACAUAGAAACCAUUUCAACUGCAUAACAUUUGCUGCAACUACUGUAUUCAGGAAGGUUUAAGAAAAACAUAAGUAAUAAACUUCAAUCCAUUUCAGCUAACAGUUAGAAAAAUCAUAUAAAUUAUAUUUUUAAAACUAUUCAAGGAAAAACAAUUAA